UCAUACGGAUUUGUACAAUAUUUUCCACACUUGUAUCAACUCAAAAAAUCUAGUGUGAUUUUCUUUAUAAAUAGAGAAACCUAAACGAACAGGCAUAUACAUAAAAGAAAAAUACUUACAUAACUUAGAAAGAAAAAAAAAAUGGGUUCCAAAAUGUUGAGUGGUUUUGCUUUGAUUCUCGUAGCCAUGUUUCUUCUAUCAUCUCCACAAGCCGUUGCCGGAAGGGAGCUUGCACAAACUACUGUAGAAACAUCUACGGAGGGAAAUGGGGUGGAUCCGAGAUCAAAAAAGCCUCCAAUAGCUCUAAAACCUUGCUUGCCACCCACCUGCCAUGUAUGCCGGCCCUGCCCACCCCCCAAUCUUCGCGGCUGUUGCUAAGCAGCCGUCUCAAUUCUCAACCUAAUUACACUAUUUCUAUGUAUUUCUUAUAUAUUCUAGUUUCAUACAAAAUUAUGCAACAACGAUGUGUUGUUAUGGUUGACGAUUCUAUAAUAUCAGAUUUUGAUUA